AGCCUGUCGUGGGACUUUACCUUGUAAUUGUUGACUGACUGCAAAACCGUUCAAUCAAGAAGAGCCUUUGGCUCAUUUUCAGGACCAGCAGAGAAGGGGGUGGAGGAGCUGAAUUUCCCUCUGUGUCCAUGCUUGGCAGCAUCAGGAGCUAAACACAGAGGUACCCAGGAUCUCCACUUCAUGCUUGGAAACUCCCUACCACUCAGGGUCACCCAAUGUAGGCAAAGACCAGUCCAGCUUGCACUCAGCACUCAGUCAGGAUAAAUGUAUCUUUGAAGCCCAGCCACCAUGUUUGGAGGAAGCCUGGACCAUAGGUAGAGGCCAUGGUCUAGGUGUUCAGCCCACAGCCCAGGUAAGACCCAGGUAAGUUCUAACAGCCAUCAUCAGCUAUUAGCUGGUAAGAGAGGGAACCUUUGGAUAAUGCCAGUCCUCAAACUUUCAGCUGCCCUGGGGGACACCAAGUGGAGAAGAAAUAAGCUGUCCCUCCUAAACCCUGCACACGUAAUACAUUUGUAAGCAAAAUAAAUGUUAUUGUUUCAACAGCUAAGUUUUGGGAUGGUUGGUUACAUAGCAAUAGACAACUGGGAAAAACAAAAUAUUCUAUUCCUAUUUUGUACCCAUGUCACCAUACAAGCACCACCCUAUAAUAAAGAGAGCAAUUAACAAGCAAA